rnacentral:rRNA from 1 species
UCAGAAGAAACCAAUGGCGUACAUUUGUUUGCCGGUACUUGAUGAAUAAGCCCCGGCUAAUUAUGUGCCAGCAGCCGCGGUAAGACAUAAGGGGCAAGUGUUAUCCGGAAUUAUUGGGCGUAAAGGGUGCGUAGGCGGUCUAGUAAGUCAGUGGUGUAAUGGCAACGCUUAACGUUGUCCGGCUAUUGAAACUGCUAAACUUGAGUUAGAUAGAGGCGAGUGGAAUUCCAUGUGUAGCGGUAAAAUGCGUAAAUAUAUGGGAGGAACACCAGAGGCGUAAGCGGCUCGCUGGGUCUUAACUGACGCUGAGGCACGAAAGCGUGGGGAGCAAACAGGAAUUAGAUACCCUGGUUAGUCCACGCCCGUAAACGAUGAGUACUAAGUGUCGGGGUUAAACCGGUACUGAAGUUAACACAAUUAAGUACUCCGCCUGAGUAGUACGUUACGCCAAGGUUAUUGAAACUUAAAAGGAAAUUUGACCGGGACUCCCGCACAAAGCGGGUGGGAUUCAUUGUUGGUUUAAAUUCCGAAAAAUACCCCGAAAAAACCUUUACCAGGGUUCUUGGACCAUGUUUUUUGGCAAAUGAUAGUAAUAUCGGUGGAGGUUACCAAAAACCACAGGUUGGUGCAUGGGUUGUCGUUCCAGCUCCUUGUCGUGAACAUUGUUAGGUUAGUCCUAAAAACCGAACCGACACCCCUUUAUCCGGUAAUUUGCACCACCGUUUUGGUUGGGACUUUCAACCAACAAUGCCCAUGAUAAUGGGAGAAGGUAAGCAUCCCGUAAAUCCACUGCCCCUUUUCAACCGGGCUCACACAACUCAAAACGGG